GUGACCUGCUGACGUGGAAGGAAAUCGCUUCCUCAAGGACGCGAUUUCCUUCCACGUCAGCAGGUCGC
rfam:Gossypium raimondii chromosome 7, whole genome shotgun sequence.